rnacentral:rRNA from 1 species
AGCGAACGCUGGCGGCAGGCUUAACACAUGCAAGUCGAGCGGGCACUUCGGUGUCAGCGGCAGACGGGUGAGUAACACGUGGGAACGUACCCUUCGGUUCGGAAUAACGCUGGGAAACUAGUGCUAAUACCGGAUACGCCCUUUUGGGGAAAGGUUUACUGCCGAAGGAUCGGCCCGCGUCUGAUUAGCUAGUUGGUGGGGUAAUGGCCUACCAAGGCGACGAUCAGUAGCUGGUCUGAGAGGAUGAUCAGCCACACUGGGACUGAGACACGGCCCAGACUCCUACGGGAGGCAGCAGUGGGGAAUAUUGGACAAUGGGCGCAAGCCUGAUCCAGCCAUGCCGCGUGAGUGAUGAAGGCCUUAGGGUUGUAAAGCUCUUUUGUCCGGGACGAUAAUGACGGUACCGGAAGAAUAAGCCCCGGCUAACUUCGUG